CUACGGGAGGCUGCAGUCGAGAAUCUUCCGCAAUGGACGAAAGUCUGACGGAGCGACGCCGCGUGCGGGAUGAAGGCCUUCGGGUUGUAAACCGCUGUCAGUGGGGAGGAAAUGCAUCAGGGUUCUCCCUGGUGUUUGACCGAUCCGCAGAGGAAGCGCAGGCUAAGUUCGGUGCCAGCAGCCGCGGUAACACGAACUGCGCGAACGUUAUUCGGAAUCACUGGGCUUAAAGAGUUCGUAGGCGGCCUUUCAAGUCGGGUGUGAAAUCCCUCGGCUCAACCGAGGAAUUGCGCCUGAUACGGGUGGGCUUGAGGGGGAUAGGGGUGAGCGGAACUGAUGGUGGAGCGGUGAAAUGCGUUGAUAUCAUCAGGAACACCGGUGGCGAAGGCGGCUCACUGGAUCUCUUCUGACGCUGAGGAACGAAAGCUAGGGGAGCGAACGGGAUUAGAUACCCGGGUAGUC
rnacentral:rRNA from 1 species